CCUACGGGAGGCAGCAGUGGGGAAUUUUGGACAAUGGGCGCAAGCCUGAUCCAGCAAUGCCGCGUGCAGGAUGAAGGCCUUCGGGUUGUAAACUGCUUUUGUACGGAACGAAACGGUCUGCCCUAAUACGGUGGGCUAAUGACGGUACCGUAAGAAUAAGCACCGGCUAACUACGUGCCAGCAGCCGCGGUAAUACGUAGGGUGCGAGCGUUAAUCGGAAUUACUGGGCGUAAAGCGUGCGCAGGCGGUUAUGUAAGACAGAUGUGAAAUCCCCGGGCUCAACCUGGGACCUGCAUUUGUGACUGCAUAGCUAGAGUACGGUAGAGGGGGGAUGGAAUUCCGCGUGUAGCAGUGAAAUGCGUAGAUAUGCGGAGGAACACCGAUGGCGAAGGCAAUCCCCUGGACCUGUACUGACGCUCAUGCACGAAAGCGUGGGGAGCAAACAGGAUUAGAUACCCUGGUAGUCCACGCCCUAAACGAUGUACACUGGUUGUUGGUCUUCACUGACUCAGUAACGAAGCUAACGCGNGAGUAGACGCCGUGGGAGGUACGGCCGCGAGUAGAACGUACGAAGUAGAGUUAGAGGCGUGAGAGAGACGACGGACGACGACGAGGGAGGAGG
rnacentral:rRNA from 1 species